rnacentral:tRNA from 1 species
GCGAAGGUGGCGGAAUUGGCAGACGCGCUAGCUUCAGGUGUUAGUGUUCUUACGGACGUGGGGGUUCAAGUCCCCCCCCUCGCACCA